ACUUACAAUCCUCCUGCCUCAGACUCCCAGGGCAAUGGGAUUACAGGUGUGCACCAGCACAGUCAGCUUGGUCCUACACUUUUGUGAUGAAACUGAACAGCUGAGUUCCGGGCACUUGUAUCAAGGUGAACAGAUGGUUAAAGAGCAAAGUGGACCCGCAGCCAAGCUCUGGAGACCCUGGACUGGAGACUCCCAGGGAACCACCACGUCCUCAAGGCAUGAGAUUCAUCUCCUUCUGAAAAGUCCUUCAUGACACCUUGAAAGAAUGUAGUCGUUGACCAGCUCACCAUGGCGAUUCUCUCAAACCAGGCCAACGUCUAUGACUUCUCCGACUCCAGCUCCAGUGCUAAUUCCAGGUGCAUCCAUUUUCCCACAAAUGUCUCAAAUUUAUCUUUGUCAAUACUCCCAAAACCAAUAUUUAGAUUCAAUGCAAUUCCAAUCAAAGUACAGCAGCAUUCCUCGCAGAACUAGAGAAAACAAUCGUAAAAUUCCUAUGGAAUGAGAAGAGACCUAAAUACAGCAAAAGCAAACCUGGG